rnacentral:rRNA from 1 species
GAUGGCCUACGGGACGCAGCAGUGAGGAAUAUUGGUCAAUGGGCGGGAGCCUGAACCAGCCAAGUCGCGUGAGGGAAGACGGUCCUAUGGAUUGUAAACCUCUUUAGGCGGGGAGCAAUGCCGGGCACGUGUGCCCGGAGGGAGAGUACCCGCAGAAUAAGCAUCGGCUAACUCCGUGCCAGCAGCCGCGGUAAUACGGAGGAUGCGAGCGUUAUCCGGAUUUAUUGGGUUUAAAGGGUGCGUAGGCGGAUUUUUAAGUCUGCGGUAACAUGUCCGGGCUCAACCCGGGCCGGCCGUUGAAACUG